AGCUAACGCGUUAAAUCGACCGCCUGGGGAGUACGGCCGCAAGGUUAAAACUCAAAUGAAUUGACGGGGGCCCGCACAAGCGGUGGAGCAUGUGGUUUAUUCGAUGCAACGCGAAGAACCUUACCUACUCUUGACAUCCAGAGAAUUUAGCAGAGAUGCUUUAGUGCCCUCGGGAACUCUGAGACAGGUGCUGCAUGGCUGUCGUCAGCUCGUGUUGUGAAAUGUUGGGUUAAGUCCCGCAACGAGCGCAACCCUUAUCCUUUGUUGCCAGCACAUUAUGGUGGGAACUCAAAGGAGACUGCCGGUGAUAAACCGGAGGAAGGUGGGGAUGACGUCAAGUCAUCAUGGCCCUUACGAGUAGGGCUACACACGUGCUACAAUGGCGUAUACAAAGAGAAGCGACCUCGCGAGAGCAAGCGGAACUCAUAAAGUACGUCGUAGUCCGGAUUGGAGUCUGCAACUCGACUCCAUGAAGUCGGAAUCGCUAGUAAUCGUAGAUCAGAAUGCUACGGUGAAUACGUUCCCGGGCCUUGUACACACCGCCCGUCACACCAUGGGAGUGGGUUGCAAAAGAAGUAGGUAGCUUAACCUUCGGGAGGGCGCUUACCACUUUGUGAUUCAUGACUGGGGUGAAGUCGUAACAAGGUAACCA
rnacentral:rRNA from 1 species